GGCGGGUGUGGGCGAUGGGCGUGGCUGGUAGUGGCGAUAAGCGCAGUGCCCAGCGCGGGAACGGAUUAUCUGUUUCUCCCGGUCCCAGCUGAACCCGUGGCCGCAGAACUUCUGGUCACGAGAGUGUCACGAGCGGGCUCGGUAGCGGGCCCGAUAAGGCAACCCAAGCGAGGACCGAAGGGACCCGGAACGAGGGAGGUUGGAGUGAGCCGUGGUGGGAGCCGUGUAGACAGCUGUGGACGAUGGGUGAGGGUGCAAAGUAUAUCUACCUCCUCGCUGGAAUUGGAGGUUGUUGACAGUGUUGACGGAUGUAGGUGGCUUGCCUUACCCUGGGUGAUAAUGCCCAGGUACUGGGUCUGUGUGGGUCGGGCUUGGAUAUUGAUGGUAUAAUCGCAAUAGCCACAAAAUAAGAAUGUCGAGUUGCAGAACCUGGAGAGAAAGAGCGUGACGACAGAAGUAAGGAAGAGUAAGGGAAUAAGGGUAAAUAAGAUAUAUCCCACGACAAGGAGGUGCCUGCUUCUGGUGUGUGUAUUAAUAGAUUUACUGCCUGCACAGCAGCGAGACCUCAAAACUCUCUCUUGUCUCUGCCUCUCUAGCUCUCUCGCAGUUCGUUUUUUCCCCUGCCUAUUUAUAUCUCCUCCUUUUCUUUCUUUCUUUCUUCCUUCCUUACUGUCCUUCCGUCCUUUUUCUUCUUUCUCGCGAUAUAUCAAUCGUUCUCUAUCCCCGUUGUCUACCUUUGGCACAGCAGAGACCUCUCGCAGUCGUAGCAAUUGACUUUUGACAAGGGCAUGCGGCUUGGCGGAAGCGACGACAAUCGGAAAACGACGCUUAUGUAACAAAAUGAUCGACUCCGGGAUACCUAACUAGCUAACCAGUAUGGAGACCUCCAGCCUGGCCUAGAUCCCACCAACUUAAGCAUAUCAAGGGGUAUGGAUGGGGGAUAGCCUUCAUCAGCUAGCUCUAAUCUACCAAAUGUCAUGUAUAUGUACCCUGGACAUGCACAG
rnacentral:sRNA from 1 species